CUGUGUGCAAAACUGCAGCCAUUGUUAGUGCCAUUUUACGGAUCACUUUGCGCCUGCUUUAAUAUCCAUCCAUAUAAUUGCAAACACGUGGGUGUGUUAAUUG